rnacentral:rRNA from 1 species
UACGCAGGGGGCUAGCGUUGUUCGGAAUUACUGGGCGUAAAGCGUGCGUAGGCGGCUUUUUAAGCCAGAGGUGAAAUCCCGGAGCUUAACUCCGGAAUUGCCCUUGGGACUGGAUGGCUAGAGUACUGGAGAGGUGAGUGGAAUUCCCAGUGUAGAGGUGAAAUUCGUAGAUAUUCGGAAGACCACCGGUGGCGAAGGCGGCUCACUGGACAGUUACUGACGCUGAGGUGCGAAAGCGUGGGGAGCAAACAGG